UACGUAGGGGGCAAGCGUUGUCCGGAAUCAUUGGGCGUAAAGCGCGCGUAGGCGGCCCUGUAAGUCCGCUGUAAAAGUCAAAGGCUCAACCUUUGAAAGCCGGUGGAUACUGCAGGGCUAGAGUCCAGAAGAGGCGAGUGGAAUUCCUGGUGUAGCGGUGGAAUGCGCAGAUAUCAGGAGGAACACCAAUAGCGAAGGCAGCUCGCUGGGACGGUACUGACGCUAAGGCGCGAAAGCGUGGGGAGCGAACAGG
rnacentral:rRNA from 1 species